CUUCCCUGAGCCACAGGGCUUGGCAGCCCUAUGUCUCUCUCUGUUAUAAAUAUGUGAAGCUGUGGCUGGCCCUUCCUUUAUAUCAAAUGCAGGUGGAAUUGGUUGGAAGGCUCUAAAGCUGCUAAGAAGGCAUUCAGUAAGACUAUUGGCACAUCUCAAAUGUGACUCAGCCCAUGUAUGUCCCUACAAUUUGUCCUGUGGAGCAGCUUAGUUUGGAGAGAAGAGGGAAGGGAUGAAAAAAAUUCAGCAACACAUCCUGACAGAAGGCAGCCAGGGAGUGUGGCUUUAUUGGGGAAGAGCUAUGCUGGGAAGAGAGACAGUAGAUCUCCUGAGACAUCUAAGAGCAGAAAGCUGAUUUAUGUGCCAGUUGACUCUCUGUGGUUCCCUGAAAUGUAGGCUUGUUUUAAAAGUGAACUAUAUUGUAACUCAACCUGCUGAGGGAUAAAAUGGAGAACCAUGAGAAAACAUGUGGGUAUCUCUUGAUGGAAGUCCUUGCUUCCCAGAAGAGCAACAGUGACUCCCUCCAGGCGCAUCAGGACUUGAGCUUGGACACGUGCAAGAAGUUUUACUGCGUGUUGUACCCUUGUGUCUGCAGCAGUGAAGUAUGAGGUAGUGUCAAUAGGCUUUACUUCAGGACCUCUUUUUGUUUUGCAUUCU